rnacentral:rRNA from 1 species
AUACGGAGGGUCCAAGCGUUAUCCGGAUUUAUUGGGUUUAAAGGGUACGUAGGCGGAAUUUUAAGUCAGUAGUGAAAUCCCAUCGCUCAACGAUGGAACUGCUAUUGAAACUGAAGUUCUUGAAUAUAGUUGAAGUAGGCGGAAUACGGCAUGUAGCGGUGAAAUGCAUAGAUAUGCCGUGGAACACCAAUCGCGAAGGCAGCUUACUAAGCUAUUAUUGACGCUAAGGUACGAUAGCGUGGGUAGCGAACAGGAUUAGAAACCCUAGUAGUCC